GCCACUUGAUAUUUUAUUUUACUAGGCAAUGAGAUAAUACCAGAACCUUCCCAUGCGGUCCUACCAAAUUACAUACAAGCACGUGUGUGUGUGUGUAUAUAUAUAUAUAUAUAUUCAUGCAUGUAGAGAGAGCGAGAAUUUAGACAAGUGUUCCAAAGCGAAUAAAGUGAUUGAGAGGAUAAUGCAUUCAAAAAGAAAGAAAGCGGUGCGAGAAAGCAAAGCAAGAAAGAAAGAGAAACAAAGUUUGGCAGCUUAUCUGCAGCCACGCACACAAAGAAUCCACUCCUCGUCACCCCCACGCUCACAUUAUUCCCUUCCCCUUCUUCAUCUUCAUCAUCAUCAUCUUCCACACAUCUCUCUCUCUCUCUCUCUCUCCAUUUCCAUCUUCUUUUAUUUGAUAUAUUAAUAUGUGUCAAGCUGACCUUGCUUUCCUUCACUAUUAUGACCGGCCAUGGAAAAACCAGCUCCCGGUCUCAGCCGUGUCACCACCGGUGAUAUCAAAGAAACAGUGUGUUUGCUCUCCAACGCAGCACCCCAGAUCAUUUCGUUGUAGGCAACAUCAUGGAGAGUAUGUUUGGGGUACUGCUGUUUCUGUUUCUGCAAGACAGAUGACCACACAUCACCACCCUGCUUCUUCUUGUUCAUGAUGUCAGUCAGUCAGUCAUGAACAAAGAGCUAAACUGGAUAGCUGGAGGAUACAGCAAGUGAAGGCGAUGAAUAUAUCAAGGGGCUAUUAAAGACAGCAUCAAGAUGGAUAAGCAUCAAUGAAAAUAAUGAGUUCAUAAAGAUUUCCCAUUUUCUUCUAUUCAUCAGACACAUUAAUGGAGCUGGUAACAGAAGAAACAAGAAAGCAUAUGAACUGUAGAAGGGACUGUAAACAAGCUCUUAUCACACAAGCAUAGCACUUAAUAUUAUUUACUUAAAUAUGGUAAUCAUGCAAGUAGCUCAUUUACAAAUUGCCACUGUUUUUGUUUGUUUUGGCAUUGAUAAUUACCCAGGUAAUAAUGAUUAUAUAAGAAUUUAUACAUCAAA